rnacentral:rRNA from 1 species
GGACCUGACUGCUAUCGGAUUAAUACUAAGCCAUGCGAGUCAUUGUAGCAAUACAAGGCAUACGGCUCAGUAACGCGUAGCCAACCUAACCUAUGGACGGGAAUGACCUCGGGAAACUGAGAAUAAUGCCCGAUAGAACAUUAUGCCUGGAAUGGUUUAUGUUCCAAAUGAUUUAUCGCCGUAGGAUGGGACUGCGGCCUAUCAGUUUGUUGGUGAGGUAAUGGCCCACCAAGACUAUUACAGGUACGGGCUCUGAGAGGAGUAGCCCGGAGAUGGGUACUGAGACACGGACCCAGGCCCUAUGGGGCGCAGCAGGCGAGAAAACUUUGCAAUGUGCGAAAGCACGACAAGGUUAAUCCGAGUGGUUUCUGCUAAAGAAACCUUUUGUCAGUCCUAGAAACACUGAUGAAUAAGGGGUGGGCAAGUUCUGGUGU